CCUACGGGAGGCAGCAGUGAGGAAUAUUGGUCAAUGGGCGCGAGCCUGAACCAGCCAAGUCGCGUGAGGGAAGACGGCCCUACGGGUUGUAAACCUCUUUUGUCGGGGAGCAAAGCGAACCACGUGUGGUUCAUUGAGAGUACCCGAAGAAAAAGCAUCGGCUAACUCCGUGCCAGCAGCCGCGGUAAUACGGGGGAUGCGAGCGUUAUCCGGAUUUAUUGGGUUUAAAGGGUGCGUAGGCGGGCAUUUAAGCCGGCGGUCAAAUGUCGGGGCUCAACCCCGGCCUGCCGUCGGAACUGGGUGCCUUGAGUGGGCGAGAAGUAUGCGGAAUGCGUGGUGUAGCGGUGAAAUGCAUAGAUAUCACGCAGAACCCCGAUUGCGAAGGCAGCAUACCGGCGCCCUACUGACGCUGAGGCACGAAAGUGCGGGUAUCGAACAGGAUUAGAUACCCUAGUAGUC
rnacentral:rRNA from 1 species